GGCCGCUAAUGGAGCGCAUAAUCAGUCAGUUUCACAACAAGAUGCAGCUGAAAAGAAACCGAAAUCAGAUAUGAAGACAAAAUGUUGUGCUCGUACAAAAAAGAAAGGGGAUAGAAGUUUUCUUGAAGGAUGCCUCUUUGCUUUGUGCUGCUGUUGGCUCUGUGAUGCUUGUUUUGAUGUCACUGUUGUGGCAUGAUAAACGUCAUGAUAUGCCUGCUGGUGCUUCUCGGAGAGUGAAUAGCCGGCGACUGUCAACUCGGAGUUCACAUGGCGACUGUCAACUCGGAGUUCACAUUACAUUUCUGUCAUUUAGUAUUUGUUGUCUAUGAGUAUGUACUAUUCCUGAGUGAUUUGGUUUAAAUAAACAUUGUAGAGGCAUUCGGAACAUAUAACUAUGUAACAGAUACACAUUUGCUAUUUAGUUUGAG